UACGGAGGGGGCUAGCGUUGUUCGGAAUUACUGGGCGUAAAGCGCCCGUAGGCGGCUUUUUAAGUCAGAGGUGAAAGCCCACGACUCAAUCGUGGAACUGCCUUUGAGACUGGAUCGCUUGAAGAUGGGAGAGGUUAGUGGAAUUCCGAGUGUAGAGGUGAAAUUCGUAGAUAUUCGGAAGAACACCAGUGGCGAAGGCGGCUAACUGGACCAUUCUUGACGCUGAGGCACGAAAGCGUGGGGAGCAAACAGG
rnacentral:rRNA from 1 species